CUGUGCUGGCCUCGGCACACGCUGAUCUGUUGCACUUGGCCUUCAUGUGAAAACCAUAGAAACCAGCUCUGGCUAACUUACUUAGGAAAAGAUUUUAGUGGAAGAAUAUUGGGCUGCUCACACUGGGUUAUCAGGAAGGCUGGAAAACAAGGGAGAUGCCAAGCCCCAGGGACAAGGGUUUGACUGGUCAAGCACAUGUCCCAGCUACCGCUCUGGUGGAGGAGUGAGGAGGCGAUAGGAGCCUCACAUCAUCUUCUGUAAUGGGAGGAGGUGGGCUCCCCUUGCCUGGGAGUCGUCUAGCAGAGGAAGGCCGUGGCCAUGACCCUUUCUGAUUCAGAGUCAGUGCAGGUCCACAUCUACCGACAGCCCUGGCACUGUCUUGGUGUUUCACCUCUUGGUGACUUGGGCGAUUGUUGUCGGACUCUGUGAAGUGCCACGUAUUGUCUCCCCGUGGCAUUCGAGGAAACUG